AUUGAACGCUGGCGGCAGGCCUAACACAUGCAAGUCGAGCGGAUGAAGGGAGCUUGCUCCUGGAUUCAGCGGCGGACGGGGGAGUAAUGCCUAGGAAUCUGCCUGGUAGUGGGGGAUAACGUCCGGAAACGGGCGCUAAUACCGCCUACGUCCUGCGGGAGAAAGUGGGGGAUCUUCGGACCUCACGCUAUCAGAUGAGCCUAGGUCGGAUUAGCUAGUUGGUGGGGUAAAGGGCUACCAAGGCGACGAUCCGUAACUGGUCUGAGAGGCUGAUCAGUCACCCUGGAACUGAGACACGGUCCAUACUCCUACGGGAGGCAGCAGUCGGGAAUAUUGGACAAUGGGCGAAAGCCUGAUCCAGCCAUGCCGCGUGUGUGAAGAAGGUCUUCGGAUUGUAAAGCACUUUAAGUUGGGAGGAAGGGCAGUAAGUUAAUACCUUGCUGUUUUGACGUUACCAACAGAAUAAGCACCGGCUAACUUCGUG
rnacentral:rRNA from 1 species